GAACUUCUGAAGAGUCCUACAAUAGGACGAAACGGCCGUUCAGUGC
rfam:Schistosoma mansoni strain Puerto Rico chromosome W, complete genome